rnacentral:rRNA from 1 species
UGGGGAAUAUUGCACAAUGGGCGAAAGCCUGAUGCAGCGACGCCGCGUGAGUGAAGAAGUAUUUCGGUAUGUAAAGCUCUAUCAGCAGGGAAGAAAAUGACGGUACCUGACUAAGAAGCCCCGGCUAACUACGUGCCAGCAGCCGCGGUAAUACGCAGGGGGCAAGCGUUAUCCGGAUUUACUGGGUGUAAAGGGAGCGUAGACGGCGAAGCAAGUCUGAAGUGAAAACCCAGGGCUCAACCCUGGGAUUGCUUUGGAAACUGUUUUGCUAGAGUGUCGGAGAGGUAAGUCGAAUUCCUAGUGUAGCGGUGAAGAGCGUAGAUAUGAGGAGGAACACCAGUGGCGAAGGCGGCUUACUGGACGAUAACUGACGUUGAGGCUCGAAAGCGUGGGGAGCAAACAGG